rnacentral:rRNA from 1 species
GACGAACGCUGGCGGCGUGCUUAACACAUGCAAGUCGAACGGUGAAGCCUUCGGGUGGAUCAGUGGCGAACGGGUGAGUAACACGUGAGCAAUCUGCCCUUGACUCUGGGAUAACUUCGGGAAACCGGAGCUAAUACCGGAUAUGACAUCUGGCCGCAUGGUCUGGGUGUGGAAAGAUUUAUCGGUCAAGGAUGAGCUCGCGGCCUAUCAGCUUGUUGGUGGGGAAUGGCCCACCAAGGCGACGACGGGUAGCCGGCCUGAGAGGGCGACCGGCCACACUGGGACUGAGACACGGCCCAGACUCCUACGGGAGGCAGCAGUGGGGAAUAUUGCGCAAUGGGCGGAAGCCUGACGCAGCGGCGCCGCGUGAGGGAUGAAGGCCUC